UACAGAGGGUGCAAGCGUUUGUUCGGAAUUAUUGGGCGUAAAGGGAGUGUAGGCGGUUUUCUAAGUCUUCUGUGAAAUCUACGGGCUUAGCCUGUAACGUGCAGAGGAAACUGGAAGGCUUGAGUGUCGGAGAGGAUAGGGGAAUACCCAGUGUAGAGGUGAAAUUCGUAGAUAUUCGCAAGAACACCAGUGGCGAAGGCGGCUCACUGGCCCGGUACUGGACGCUGAGGUGCGAAACGUGGGGACAACAGGGAUAAGAUACCCAG
rnacentral:rRNA from 1 species